rnacentral:rRNA from 1 species
AACGAACGCUGGCGGCAUGCCUAACACAUGCAAGUCGAACGAGACCUUCGGGUCUAGUGGCGCACGGGUGCGUAACGCGUGGGAACCUGCCCUUAGGUUCGGAAUAACUCCCCGAAAGGGGUGCUAAUACCGGAUAAUGUCUUCGGACCAAAGAUUUAUCGCCUUUGGAUGGGCCCGCGUUGGAUUAGCUAGUUGGUAGGGUAAAAGCCUACCAAGGCGACGAUCCAUAGCUGGUCUGAGAGGAUGAUCAGCCACACUGGGACUGAGACACGGCCCAGACUCCUACGGGAGGCAGCAGUGGGGAAUAGUGGACAAUGGGCGAAAGCCUGAUCCAGCAAUGCCGCGUGAGUGAUGAAGGCCUUAGGGUUGUAAAGCUCUUGUACCCGGGAUGAUAAUGACAGUACCGGGAGAAUAAGCUCCGGCUAACUCCGUG